rnacentral:rRNA from 1 species
UACAGAGGUCCCGAGCGUUGUUCGGAUUCACUGGGCUUAAAGGUUGCGUAGGUGGUUGGGUAAGUUUGAUGUGAAAGCUCAGGGCUUAACCCUGAAAUGGCAUUGAAUACUACUUAACUGGAGGUUUGGAGGGGGGACUGGAAUUCUUGGUGUAGCAGUGAAAUGCGUAGAUAUCAAGAGGAACACCAGUGGCGAAGGCGAGUCCCUGGACAACACCUGACACUGAGGCACGAAAGCUAGGGGAGCAAACGGG